rnacentral:tRNA from 1 species
GCCUCCGUAGCUCAGUCUUGGUUAGAGUGCGUCCUUGGUAAGGACGAGGUCACGGGUUCAAUCCCCGUCGGAGGCU